rnacentral:rRNA from 1 species
UACGAAGGGGGCGAGCGUUGUUCGGAAUUACUGGGCGUAAAGGGCGCGUAGGCGGCCUCGUCCGUCCGGCGUGAAAUGCCUGGGCUCAACCUAGGAAUUGCGCUCGAUACAGCGAGGCUAGAGUGUGGGAGAGGUUGGUGGAAUUCCCAGUGUAGAGGUGAAAUUCGUAGAUAUUAGGAAGAACACCAGUGGCGAAGGCGGCUCACUGGUCCGGUACUGACGCUGAGGUGCGAAAGCGUGGGGAGCAAACAGG